GUGACAGCCGCCGCGGUAAUACGGGGGGCGCAAACGUUGUUCGGAAUCACUGGGCGUAAAGGGCGCGUAGGCGGCUGUGCAAGUCAGAUGUGAAAGCCCGCGGCUUAACCGCGGAAUUGCAUCUGAAACUGCACGGCUUGAGUAUGGGAGAGGAAAGUGGAAUUCCCGGUGUAGAGGUGAAAUUCGUAGAUAUCGGGAGGAACACCAGUAGCGAAGGCGACUUUCUGGCCCAAUACUGACGCUGAGGCGCGAAAGCGUGGGGAGCAAACAGGAUUAGAAACCCUAGUAGUCC
rnacentral:rRNA from 1 species